rnacentral:lncRNA from 1 species
UUCUUUUUACAUUUUUUUCCCUGUAGGAGAGGGAGGAUCUUGAUUUCAUUGGAGAAAGAGGGUGCAUCCUUCCAUGGAUGGUAUGUUGAAUAGACACGCACCUCCCACGCACACACAAACACAAUUACCCACAGUGUGCAUUACAUAUACACACACCCAUGUGGCUUUCACCUUGAAGGCUCCAGAGGUUGGAAGAAACCAGGAGAGGAUCCAGGAGAAGCCAAACCUGGAGCAAGGAGUAUAGCAGCAAAGAGGGGAAGAAGAAGCCUCAUUGCCCAGGAGACCAGGACCCAUCUCUUACCCAACUCUGCCUCAAAUCCCAUAUUUCUCUCCCUGAACCCUGCUAAUGAUUCUCCAAUAAUUUAACCAGAGUAACCCCACCCUUUUGAGCUGGAAAUAAGGGUUCCCUAAGGCCCUUCUGGACUCUUCUGUUUUCAUUGACAAGGUGGGAAUAAAGCACAUGGCUUCAGCU